GAACGCUGGCGGCAGGCUUAACACAUGCAAGUCGAGCGGGCGUAGCAAUACGUCAGCGGCAGACGGGUGAGUAACGCGUGGGAACAUACCUUUUGGUUCGGAACAACACAGGGAAACUUGUGCUAAUACCGGAUAAGCCCUUACGGGGAAAGAUUUAUCGCCGAAAGAUUGGCCCGCGUCUGAUUAGCUAGUUGGUGAGGUAACGGCUCACCAAGGCGACGAUCAGUAGCUGGUCUGAGAGGAUGAUCAGCCACAUUGGGACUGAGACACGGCCCAAACUCCUACGGGAGGCAGCAGUGGGGAAUAUUGGACAAUGGGCGAAAGCCUGAUCCAGCCAUGCCGCGUGAGUGAUGAAGGCCCUAGGGUCGUAAAGCUCUUUUGUGCGGGAAGAUAAUGACGGUACCGCAAGAAUAAGCCCCGGCUACUUCGUGCCAGCAGCCGCGGUAAUACGAAGGGGGCUAGCGUUGCUCGGAAUCACUGGGCGUAAAGGGUGCGUAGGCGGGUCUUUAAGUCAGGGGUGAAAUCCUGGAGCUCAACUCCAGAACUGCCUUUGAUAAUGAGGAUCUUGAGUUCGGGAGAGGUGAGUGGAACUGCGAGUGUAGAGGUGAAAUUCGUAGAUAUUCGCAAGAACACCAGUGGCGAAGGCGGCUCACUGGCCCGAUACUGACGCUGAGGCACGAAAGCGUGGGGA
rnacentral:rRNA from 1 species